GUGCUUGCUUUGGCAGCACACAUACUAAAAUUGGAACGAUAUAGAGAAGAUCAGCAUGGCUCCUGCGCAAGGAUGACAUGCAAAUUCGUGAAGCGUUCCAUACUUUU
ensembl:snRNA U6 U6 spliceosomal RNA